AGUAUGAUUAUUGUUCUUUACACUUGUUGUAUACAUCAGAAAUGGAGCGUUAAGGUGGUUGAUUUUUAAAGAACCUCAAUUUUGCAGUCCCAAAACAUAAUUACAUUUAUAGCAGCUGAGAGGAAUGUUCAUGGCAAAUGUGCUUUUAGUAAGUAUUCAAAAUAUCCCUGUAUGGUAUUGUGCUGCAUGCCUGAGGAGGACUUCACCCCGAGAAUUCUGCUAAAACAAUAGAAAUAGAUUUGUAAAUACUUUUAAUUCACUUUUCUCUGUGGGUCAUAUUAUUUAGACAUUGCAGGAAGGCAAACAAGACUCAUUUAUCAAUGAAAAGGAUUUGAAAGCUAAGACCGUAAGAGUUUGUGUCAAAGAUGCGUUUAUCCAAGCUUUUUGGGCUAGCUGCACAUUGUGCAAAGAUUCAUCCAGUCAGUGUUAUGUUACAGAGAAUAAAAGAUGUAACUGAAACAAGCAGUUUUGCUCCUAAAUUCCUGUGUUUACAUUUAUAGUAUUUUUAACAGCUGGAAGAAAAAUAUAUUGAUAAUGGAAUGGGAAUAAAGCUGAAAUUGUCAUUUUAGUG